rnacentral:rRNA from 1 species
UACGUAGGGGGCUAGCGUUGUCCGGAAUCAUUGGGCGUAAAGAGCGUGUAGGCGGCCCGGUAAGUCCGCUGUGAAAGUCGGGGGCUCAACCCUCGAAUGCCGGUGGAUACUGUCGGGCUAGAGUGCGGAAGAGGCGAGUGGAAUUCCAGGUGUAGCGGUGAAAUGCGUAGAUAUCAGGAGGAAUACCGGUGGCGAAAGCGACUCUCUGGACGGCAACUGACGCUGAGGCACGAAAGCGUGGGGAGCAAACAGG